UAGCGUAGGGGGCUAGCGUUGUCCGGAAUCAUUGGGCGUAAAGCGUGUGUAGGCGGAUCGUUAAGUGCCUUGUGAAAUCCCACGGCUUAACUGUGGAACGGCUGGGCAUACUGGCGGUCUUGAGCCAUCUAGGGGCGACUGGAACAAACGGUGGAGCGGUGAAAUGCGUAGAUAUCGUUUGGAACGCCAAUGGUGAAAACAGGUCGCUGGGGAUGAGCUGACGCUGAGACACGAAAGCCAGGGGAGCAAACGGG
rnacentral:rRNA from 1 species